CGAAUACUCCCUCUGUCCGGAAAUAUUUGUCACAAGAACAGAUGUAUCUAGAUGUAUUUUAGUUUUAAAUACAUCAUUUUGUAUCCAUUUAUGCGACAAGUAAUUCCGAAUUGAAAGGAGUACACG
rnacentral:pre_miRNA from 1 species